GUGUGUGUGUGUGUGUGUGUGUGUGUGUGCGGGGCGGGUGCAUUGGCGGGGCUGACUCCAGUAAAACAGCAGCGCUCCCUCGCAGCUCUUCUCCUCCUUCUUAUCUGCUCUCACAGCCAGUUGAGCAUCACUCAGACGCAGCACUCUCAAAUCCCAGCCAAGCCUCUCCUGGCAACGCCGCCCUGCCUACCGCGGAGGGGGAGUCUGUCCUGCUGUAUGUACCUCCGUAUGAGGUACACGCCUGGGCUGCUGCUUCUACUGCUGCUGCUGCUGCUGCUGCUGCUGCAGCCACACCAGCAGAUUCACAAUCCCCCUGCUGACUGGGUAAACGGCCAGUCACUGUUUCUACGUGUUUUUUUUUGUCAGUUAGCUGUCUUUAACUGUAUAGGUGCUGGAUGGGGUUGAACGAUAUGCGUGCGCGAGCAGGCACGCAUGCGCCGGGCCGUAUUCAAAUACCCAACGUGUUAUUGCCCUUGCCCCCCCCUCGAAGAAAUUCCUCACGGGACUUAAUCUGCAUUUUGCUUCUCCUUCUCUCCUUCAGCACGAAUCCUGGAUCAAUACACCACGGGUAGCAGCCGCGGACACCAAGGCCAAAGCGCAGCAUGGGCUUGCAAUCCGGUCGACUCCAACAACACUCCACCAGCCAAUCAGAGCUCAGUUAUGACUGGACGUGUAUCUGAGCUGGAAUGACCCCUGCCCACUGGCACUGUUCCCACAGUACUGUGGCAAUCUUAAGCACAAUAUAAAAGUCAACAACAGGUACACAAAAACACACUCACAGAGCAUUAGAUUUGAGACGUUGAGGUUCAUAUUCAGCUCCUUAUAAUACUUUGUAUUUAAUUUACCACCAAAAUAAGCAUUGUUGUUUGUUAAUAAUAUAGUUAUAUGAUUUUCAGAAUAAUGGUUUAAUUAUCUAUUAACUAUUAUCCAGAAUUGUGUAUUUCUUUACGCUCUACUUGCUUUAUUCUCAGCACGGUUGGGUGGUUCCUCGAACA